UACGGGGGGUGCGAGCGUUGUCCGGAAUUACUGGGCGUAAAGGGCGCGUAGGCGGCUCUCAAAGUCAGGGGUGAAAUCCGGCAGCUUAACUGUCGAAGUGCCUUUGAUACUGGGGAGCUCGAGGGAGGUAGGGGUGUGUGGAACUUCCGGUGGAGCGGUGAAAUGCGUUGAUAUCGGAAGGAACGCCGGUGGCGAAAGCGACACACUGGACCUCUUCUGACGCUGAGGCGCGAAAGCUAGGGGAGCGAACGGG
rnacentral:rRNA from 1 species